rnacentral:rRNA from 1 species
ACGGAAGGCAGCAGUGAGGAAUAUUGGUCAAUGGUCGGAAGACUGAACCAGCCAUGCCGCGUGAAGGAUGAAUGCCCUAUGGGUUGUAAACUUCUUUUGCCGCAGAGUAAUAGGGGUCCUGCGGGGCCCGAUGAGAGUAUGCGGCGAAUAAGCAUCGGCUAACUCCGUGCCAGCAGCCGCGGUAAUACGGAGGAUGCAAGCGUUAUCCGGAUUUAUUGGGUUUAAAGGGUGCGUAGGCGGACGCGUAAGUCAGCGGUGAAAUAUCCCGGCUCAACCGGGAGGCUGCCGUUGAUACUGCGCGACUCGAGUCCAAACGGCGCCGGCGGAAUAUGUAAUGUAGCGGUGAAAUGCAUAGAUAUUACAUAGAACACCGAUCGCGAAGGCAGCUGGCGAGGAUGGCACUGACGCUGAGGCACGAAGGCGUGGGGAUCAAACAGGAUUAGAUACCCUGGUA